CAAUAGCGUAUAUUAAAGUUGUUGCAGUUAAAAAGCUCGUAGUUGGAUUUGUGGCGUGCGGUGCGUUCCGGGCACUUGUUGUCUGAGUAACCUGCCGCUGCCGUCCUUGGGUGGAACCUGUGUGGCAUUAGGUUGUCGUGCAGGGGAUGCCCAUCAUUUACUGUGAAAAAAUUAGAGUGUUCAAAGCAGGCUUAUGCCGUUGAAUAUAUUAGCAUGGAAUAAUGAGAUAGGACUUUUUGCUAUUUUGUUGGUUUGCGCAAAGAGGUAAUGAUUAAUAGGGACAGUUGGGGGUAUUCGUAUUCCAUUGUCAGAGGUGAAAUUCUUGGAUUUUUGGAAGACGAACUACUGCGAAAGCAUUUACCAAGGAUGUUUUCAUUAA
rnacentral:rRNA from 1 species